rnacentral:rRNA from 1 species
GAUGAACGCUGGCGGCGUGCCUAAUACAUGCAAGUCGAGCGAACGGACGAGAAGCUUGCUUUUCUGAUGUUAGCGGCGGACGGGUGAGUAACACGUGGAUAACCUUCCUAUAAGACUGGGAUAACUUCGGGAAACCGGAGCUAAUACCGAAUAAUAUUUUGAACCGCAUGGUUCAAAAGUGAAAGCCGUUCUUGCUGUCACUUAUAGAUGAAUCCGCGCUGCAUUAGCUAGUUGGUAAGGUAACGGCUUACCAAGGCAACGAUGCAUAGCCGACCUGAGAGGGUGAUCGGCCACACUGGAACUGAGACACGGUCCAGACUCCUACGGGAGGCAGCAGUAGGGAAUCUUCCGCAAUGGGCGAAAGCCUGACGGAGCAACGCCGCGUGAGUGAUGAAGGUCUUCGGAUCGUAAAACUCUGUUAUUAGGGAAGAACAUAUGUGUAAGUAACUGUGCACAUCUUGACGGUACCUAAUCAGAAAGCCACGGCUAACUACGUG